CACACACACACACACACACAGGCGAGCGAGCAGCUGCUUGCAGCAGACUGUUUAUGAUUAGUCAGUUAAGGAUGAUUAGACAAUUAAGGAUGGAAGAGACUUGCUUUUGUUCUUAUAAG